rnacentral:rRNA from 1 species
UCGUCUAGCAGGACGACGGAAGAACUGCGGAGGAUCAUUAUCGAAUAAACUUGAACAGGUUGUUGCUGGUCUCCUCUGGGGGAUUAUGUGCACGCUUGUCUCAUCUUUGUUAUUUCUCCAACACUGUGCACCUUUUGUAGACCCUGGAACUUUUAUGGAUUUUCUGAAAAUCCGAGUCAGGAUUGCUGUUGCUGUAAAAAGUCAGCUUUGCCUUGGGUCUAUGUCAUUUUUCACAAACCUCAUAUGUUUAGAAUGUUGGAAAAUAUAAAUUUGAAAUAUACAACUUUCAGCAACGGAUCUCUUGGCUCUCGCAUCGAUGAAGAACGCAGCGAAAUGCGAUAAGUAAUGUGAAUUGCAGAAUUCAGUGAAUCAUCGAAUCUUUGAACGCAUCUUGCGCUCCUUGGUAUUCCGAGGAGCAUGCCUGUUUGAGUGUCAUUUAACUUCUCAACCACAUCAGAUGAUGAUGUUGGCUUGGAUGUGGGGGUUGUUUUUGCAGGCUUUCUGUAGAAGGUCGGCUCCCCUGAAAUGGAUUAGUGGUAUCUGAGGCUACUACUGUGGGUGUGAUAACUAUCUAUGCCUUUGGUAUGCCGCAUGAACAGAUUACACUGCUUCUAACAACACAAAUUUUGAUAAAUUUGACCUCAAAUCAGGUAGGACUACCCGCUGAACUUAAGCAUAUCAAUAAGGCGGAGGAA